GUGAGUGGGAGCCCCAGUGUGUG
rnacentral:miRNA from 1 species